ACGGGUGAGUAACGCGUGGGAACGUGCCUUUCGGUUCGGAAUAACUCUGGGAAACUUGAGCUAAUACCGGAUACGCCCUUCGGGGGAAAGAUUUAUUGCCGAAAGAUCGGCCCGCGUCCGAUUAGCUAGUUGGUGAGGUAAUGGCUCACCAAGGCGACGAUCGGUAGCUGGUCUGAGAGGAUGAUCAGCCACACUGGGACUGAGACACGGCCCAGACUCCUACGGGAGGCAGCAGUGGGGAAUAUUGGACAAUGGGCGCAAGCCUGAUCCAGCCAUGCCGCGUGAGUGAUGAAGGCCCUAGGGUUGUAAAGCUCUUUCGCCAGGGACGAUAAUGACGGUACCUGGAUAAGAAGCCCCGGCUAACUUCGUGCCAGCAGCCGCGGUAAUACGAAGGGGGCUAGCGUUGUUCGGAAUCACUGGGCGUAAAGCGCACGUAGGCGGAUCUUUAAGUCAGGGGUGAAAUCCCGAGGCUCAACCUCGGAACUGCCUUUGAUACUGGAGGUCUAGAGUCCGGGAGAGGUGAGUGGAACUGCGAGU
rnacentral:rRNA from 1 species